UAGAGAUGGGGUCUCACUAUGUUGCCCAAGCUGGUCUCUAACUCCUGGCCUCAAGGGAACCUCCAGCCUUGGCCUCACAAAGCACUGGGAUUACAGCUUAGAUAUUCACUAUGAGAAUUAAUUCCAUGUGAUAAUCCAAAGGCAGGCCAAGGUGAGAGGAUUGCUUGACACCAGGAGAGACCAGCCUGGGCAGCAAAAGACGACCCUGUCUCUACAAAAAAUAAAAGUAAACAUAGUCAAGUGCAGUGGUGCAUACCUGUAGUUCCAGCUACUUCGGAGGCUGAGAUGGGAGGAUCAUUUGAGCCCAGGAGAUCGAGGCUGCAGUGAGCUAUGAUUGCACCACUGCACUGUAGCCUGGACAACAGAGAGACCCUGUCUAACAUGAAAUGAAAUAAAAUAAUUUUAAAAAUAAUAAAAAUAAAAUAAAAUUAUUUUUCUUCUUUCCAACGUCACUACCUCUAUCCUUAUCCAACUUACCUUUGAGUGGCCAAGCCUUUCAGUUCUGUAAACCAAGCAAUCCACAUUCACUGUUACCCACUACAAUACAAAUGCCACCUAAACAAAUAGCCAGUGUCACCUUCUUAAAACACUAAUAAUAUGGUGUUUCCUGCCGUAAUUAAGCCCUUUACAGACUGCUCAUCAUUCUUGGGAUAAAACCAAGCUUUUUUACGUGUUAAAAACAUGCCCAUUUGCCCACCCCUCCAAUCUCAUCUGAAGCUGGGCUGCUCUUCCUUUACAAAGUUCCUAUCAUUCUAGAAUUCUCAUAAUUCCUCCUUGGUGCCAAUAUGAAUUCUCUCCCAACAUGCAACCUGUUCAUGUGCCAUUCUAUCUGGAACACUAUUCUCCUCCCUCUUUACCUAGCCAAUAGUUAUAUAUUCUUUGUGUCUUAUUUUAAAUGUCACUUCCUCUAGGAAAGCAUAUUUUAUAUGCCAUUCUAGCUCCCUGAAGUUCUUCAUAACACUUAUCACAAUGUAUGAAAUUAUUUUUCUUUUAGAAUGUAUUUUUAAUUUUAUUUUUUAUUAAAAUAUUAUAGUUCUACACAUUUAUGUACAUAUAUUUUGAUACAUGCAUACAGUGUGUAAUGAUCAAAUCAAUAUAAUUGGGUAUUGAUCGCUUCAAAUAUUUAUCAUUUUUUUGUGUUGGGGACAGUCCAAAUCUUGUCUUCGAGUUCUUUUGAAAUAUACAAUAAAUUAGUUAACUGUUGUCACCCUACUGUGCUAUCAAACACUAGAAUUUAGUCCUUCUAACUGUAUUUUUAUAUCCAUUAACCAACCUUUCUUCAACUCUACCCACCCUCUCCUUUCCCUGCUUUUGGUAAUCACCGUUCUAUUUACCACCUUUGUGAAAUCAGUUGUUUCAGCUCCCACAUAUGAGUGAGAACAUGGAACAUUUGUCUUUCCGUGCCUGGCUUAUUUCACUUAACCUCCUUCAGGUUUGUACAUGUUGCUGCAAAUAACAAGAUUUUAUUAUUUUUUAUGGCUGAAUAAUAUUCCAUCAUUUGUCCUUUUUCUACACACCUUCCUGUAUUUCACUGUUGUCAUUCAAUAAUACUACAGGAUAGUCUCUAAGACAAGUAUUCAUUUUUUUAUGGCCACAUGAUAUUCCAUGCUACAGAUGAAUGCUAAUAUACUCAAUCAUUUCUCCUGUAAUCUCAGCACUCUGGGAGGCCAAGCUGGGCAGAUCACAUGAGGCCAGGAGUUCAAGACCAGCCUGGCCAAUGUGGUGAAAUCCCAUCUCUAGUAAAAAUACAAAAAUUAGCCAGGCAUGGUGGUGCCUGCCGUAAUCCCAGUUGAUUGGGAAGCUAAGGUGGGAGAAAUUUUGAACCUAGGAAACAGAGGUUGCAGUGAGCCAUGCUUGCACCACUGCACUCCAGCCUGGGCAACAGAAUGAAUCCAUCUCAAAAAAAAUUAAAUUAUUUAUCUAUUAUUGAAUAUUAACUUUGUUCCCAGUUUUUAGCUACUCUGCACAAUGAUGAAAUAAAAAUCCUUACAGAUAUACACUUUAUGUGCUGAUGCUUUAUCUCUAGUAGCUAGUAUCCAAGGAUUAUAUACCACUUUUAAGAACACAUGUAUUUUAUAUUGUUAUAGAUGUGGUCAGAUCAAGUUCUUUUAAAAGGCUGUAAAGUCUUAUAUUUCUACAAGUGAUAUAUAAAAUUCUAUUUUCUUCAUGUACUGGCCAGAAAUUAUAAAUAUAUUUACAGCGUAAUGAGCAUGAAACUAUAUAUCAUGGUUAUUUAAAUUUGCAUUCCCCUUACUGUUAAUGAAGCUGGAAAUCUUCCUAUGAAUUUGUUGCCUAUUUGGAUUUAUCCUUUCCUGUGUAUUGCCUAUCUACUAGAUUGCCUAUUUUCCUUUGCCUUGUUUUUCUUUGUCACUUUGUAAAAUAUUUUUGGUAUAUUAUAGAUAUUAACUGUGUGCUAUAUAUAUUACAUUGUUUUUUAUUCCAGAUCAAACAUUUAUGUAUCAACAUUGUAAUAUUUUGUAUAAAAAUUUCACAUUUCAAAUAGUCAAAGAUGUUUAUUCCUUCUUAUAUGUCUCUGCUUUCUCUGUGUUGGUUAAGCAAGCAUCUUUUUGAUUUCACAUGCAUUUUUAAUGUUUUUCACAAGAUGUUUAAUGUUUUUUUUAUUAUUAUAAGUUUUAGGGUACAUGUGCACAAUGUGCAGGUUAGUUACAUAUGUAUACAUGUGCCAUGCUGGUGUGCUGCACGCACUAACUCGUCAUCUAGCAUUAGGUAUAUCUCCCAAUGUUAUCCCUCCCCCCUCCCCCACCCCACAACAAUCCCCAGAGUGUGAUGUUCCCCUUCCUGUGUCCAUAUGUUCUCAUUGUUCAAUUCCCACCUAUGAGUGAGAAUAUGCAGUGUUUGGUUUUUUGUUCUUGUGAUAGUUUACUGAGAAUGAUAAUGUUUUAAUAUUUUUCUCUUGAAUUUAAUGUUAAUCUACUUGUACUUUGUAUGUGGCAUAAAAUUUGUGUUCCCUAUUAUUUAUUCCAAAAUGAAUAGCCAGUUGGCCCAGCAUUGCUUAUUGAAUAAUUCAUCUUUUUCCCACUAAAUCAAAGUAUUACUUUUGGCAUGUGAUAAAUUCACGUACACAAUUAUAUGGUCUAUUUCUGCAUUUUCUAUUUUCUUCCAUAACUUGUUUAGUCCUGUGUCAAUAUUAUGUUGAUGUGGUUAUAAAGGCUUUGUUUUUUAGUAUUAUGAUAUCUGAUUUUAAAAAGAGUCAUACCAUAAUUUAUAUAUUUGGCUAUAUUUUAAUAUUUAAUACUAUUUAUAUUUAAAGCUAUUUAAUCCAAUUUCCUCUACUUACAAAUAAAGUUGUUGGCACUCUACCAAGUUAUAAAUGUAUGACACUUACAAAUUAAUUUCUGAAAAACUUAAAUUUUGUGAUACUGAGUCUCAUCAUUCAAGAACAUUGCAGGUCCCCCAAAUCUUCUGCCCUGAUGAAUAAAUGACAGACAGCUGGGUUUGGAU
rnacentral:lncRNA from 1 species